rnacentral:sRNA from 1 species
UAAUAGCCCUGAUGGAAACGGCAUCCUUUUUUGGGGCGGACGGAACACAGUGGAGCCCGUUACAAAAAAGAUACGGUGAACAGCAGGUUCCCGG